AUUGUCCUCCGAGAAUUCACAUCGAGGGAGAGAUAAAACUGAGAGGGUUUCGUGGAUCGCAAUCCCAUCGACAAUGGCGUGCUCUGCUUGUCUAAACAAUUCUCCAAUCUGUCAAUACCGCGUAAUUUCGAGGAAACCUCAUCGGUAAGUCGCACGUUGAGAUCCUCAAGGAAGUGGAAGCGUAAGUCCGAACUCCGAUCUGUGCAAGAGACCAUGGUUGCGCAACCCUAAAGAUCUUCCGUGUUGAAUCCUGAAGUGACGUCGAAGCUUCCGAAUAAGGGAGGAGGAAGAAUGCCCACUCUAUUGUGGGCCGGGCCUUAAGUAUGGGCCUAGUGCUAGUCCACUCCCGCGGCUGUGCGUAUAACUCACGCCUCUGAGGCUCUCUCCCUUUUAAUUUUGAUGUUGUCCUCCGAGGGAUAAUACUGAGAGGGUUUCGUGGAUCGCCAUCGCCGACGACGUGCUCUGCUUGUCUAAACAAGUCUACGGUCUGUCAAUCUUGCGCAAUGUCGAGGAGACCUCAUCGGUAAUUCGCACGUUGAGAUCUUAAGGACGUGGAAGCGUUAGUGCGAUCUGUGUAAGAGACCUUGGUUGCGCAACGUUAAAGAUCUUCCGCGUUGAAUCAUGAAGUGACGUCGAAGCGGCUGAAUAAGAUUCACAUAAUAGGAUCCCAGUAUCAAUGAAGCCUAGGAAGAAAAAAAUAUGGGCAGAUCAUUUGAAGUCGGGAAGCAAAAAAGGUAUAUAUGUAUUCAGAUUUCAGCAUAUAAUACUUUUCUAGAUGUGUUUUGGAUACCUUUUCUUUUCAUUACUUUGUGGAGACUUGAUUAGCUUUUUAUUACAUGAUUUCUUUUACAAGCACUUAUUAUGAGCGGUGCAAUUAUAACUGGAGAUAAACACCUAAAAGUAUGCCAUGUUUCUGGUGAAGGUUUAUUUUACUUAUUUCCGAUCCUGCAGAGUUCAUAGAAGAGACACAAGACACUGUAUCUCAUGGUAUACCUGUCUUAUCUCUUUCUCUGCAGUUCUUUAAUCUUGUUAUGAGACUCAAAUUUGUUCGAGAGCCUGCGUUGUAAAUUGAGCCUGCAUUCUUUAUUGAUUGUCUUAUCUCUUUCCUUUAUGGUUUAGUCUUGUUAAAUAUCAUCUGCGAUUUUUUUCGUUUAGCAUUUAUCAUUUUGUUUGUUUAUUUUGUUCAUUCAAUUUUGCGUGUCUUUAAAUUUCCAUCCGGUGGCUUUCAUAGUCUUUCAAGAAGGAAAUUGAUCUCUCAUGGCCAUUUCUGGAACUUCAAACACUUUGAAAUUAUAUUGAACAACCACUGACUGAGAUGAGUUUCUUAUUAAGUGCUUUGUCUGCUCUAAUGUUGCUGAAUAAUAAUGAUUGAUACUAAUAUGUUUCCUCUCUCAUUAAAGGCCUCCUAAUCAAACAACCACAAGACUAAACAAAACAGGAUAACUCGAAGUUAUGUGACAAAGGACCUGUACAGUAGUUCACUAAAUACUCCUUUUGAUCCAGCUCCUAAUAAAAGGCAAGGCAUAUUACCUGUUCGCUUGGACAUUGAUCCCCACUGAAGCAUUAUAUGUUGUGACCCCUCUAUAAUUUUGUGGUCAGUUCAACUGGGUCCAGUCUUUUCGUGGAAGCUAAUUCUAAUUUUUUAUGUUAAUUACACUUGCUGCUUUACACUUUUGUGGUAUUGGUAUUCAUUCUAACUGAUACGCGGUUGAAGUUUGCAUCAUGUGAUACAAUUGUAGAGGUGAUCUACAAGCAUACCAUCUCCACACUAAAGAAUCGAUGCAGCAAACCUGGAGCUGCUGUUGUUUUGCUGACAAUCUUGUAUCUUUCCUCAACAAUGCCAAAGGGGCAACUGUUAUUGAUGUGGAUGCUCUUUGGUUUCUUAGCUUAGUGGAAAUCUUCGAGUCCUCUGUUUCUAUUUAAUAAUUUGAUUUUUUUCUUUUUAUUUCUUGGCAGUGAAGAAGCUAGGUUUGUGGGGGCUGGGGGGGGUCUCUUGCUGUGGCCUGUGGGUUCCUCUUCAGAGACUAGUGCUGGAACUCGGUUGGCAUCUUCGAUUGAGGCAUUCAAUGUUUUACUUGGAAUAAGCAGAUGUGUUCCAAGACUUCAAUCGAAAGGGAAUGUGGGAUGCAGCCAUCGGCGCAGUGGUUUAUUACCCAUCCCACCUUAUUGAUUUGGUGGCGUAUUUUGCCAGAAAAGGAUAGAAGGUAAGAAAGGGAUUGGCCGAGACUUUGUUGCAAAGUAGACGAAAAAGUAACCAAUCUAGGAGGCCCUUGAACGUUUGAAAAACAGCUGGAAUAUCUUAUGAAAAGGACAACAAAGCUUUGAUGCAAUGGGCUCACAAUUGCCAUUGACUAUUCAGCCCUGCUUCAAUGGGUUUGAUGUAACAGAUGUGGCGGGCCGCUCGGAAACAUAUAUGUCCUCUUAAUGGUGACUGGGGCAACUUCAAGGGGUAUGGGCAUGCGUGUAGUUCCUCUUCGCUGGGCUGGUCUAGUUCCUCUUCAAAUGGUCCUUAAGCGUAAUUUGACUGGGCUUAUUGGGCCCAGUUAAUUUUGCAAGAGGCCUCUUCACUUAAUUUCGUACCUGGUUGCUUUAGUCACACUCUAGUUUUUUUAGAAGACACCCUGGCAAUUGAUUUGUACGGGGUGGUUAACUUAAAUUGGGGUGUCUUUAAAAAAUAUCAGGGUGACUAAAGCUACCCUUCGGCACCUAGGAGUAUUGGCAUUGAGUCAGUGGGGCUUAUAGGCCCAUUAGUCUCACGGCCCACUGGAUUCAAUUCAAUUCUACUCUAUGGUUUCGGUCCAAAAUAACUUGUCCAAAGACAAUAAGCCCAUGUAACUGAUUCUCUUUGUAAUUGGCCGUAAGACCAACCUGAAAAUCCCUCGUCAGUCCAUGGACUUUAGAACCAGGCCCAUUUGUUUUAAGUGCAAUUUAUGUUGGUCCUUAGCCCAAUUUUAAUGGGCUUUCGGGCCCAAUCUUAGUGUGCUAUUAGGUUCACUUUUAAUGGACUUUUGGCCCAGUUUUGGUGGGCUUUUGGGCCCACUUUUGAUGGACUUUUUGAUCGA